rnacentral:lncRNA from 1 species
UUGUGACUUUGUUAAAUCUGUCUCAAAUAUAGUGUAGUUGAAAAUGAUAAUUUCUUAUUUUGUUCUUUUCGGAUGAAGAUAUUGUGCUCACCCUUGUGAUUUAAUUUUUGGCAAGUUAUUAUUUUCUCUCAUACGUAGUACUCACGGUGAUUGAAUCUAUAUGAUGUUUUUAAAUAUUAUAAUUUCAUUGAAUUUGGAAUAUAUGUAAUUUGCCAAAUGAAGCUAUGUGUGAAUACUAUGGUUAUCCUUGUAAUUAAAAUUGUUUAUUAAGGCAUGUUAUUUUGUGUCCUUUGAGAAAUAUUGCUGUGAAUGAAAAUUUUGUUUUCAGAACUAUCAUUUACGUUAAUCAUUGAUAUUCUUAAUCAAAUAUAGUUUGUGAUGGAAAUAUGAAAUACCAUUGUUUGUUGAUAAACAUGUUGGAUGUUGCUAUAAUUGUAUUUGUCUUUAUCUAUGGUCUAUGGUAGCUUUGCUUGAUUCAUUUGAUUCUCACUGUCCUGUGAAUUAGUUUUUGUUUAACUAUUGAUGGAGACUAUAAAAUAUUAUAAUUAGAUAACAUGACUUCCAGUUUCCUUUGUAAAUAUGAUGAUACACAUAUUUUAGAGUAAAUUAAAUGAAAAUAAUUUACAAUAUGGCAAGAUGUUAUCAGUAUGA